AACGAACGCUGGCGGCAGGCUUAACACAUGCAAGUCGAGCGCCCCGCAAGGGGAGCGGCAGACGGGUGAGUAACGCGUGGGAAUCUACCCAUCUCUACGGAAUAACGCAUGGAAACGUGUGCUAAUACCGUAUACGUCCUUCGGGAGAAAGAUUUAUCGGAGAUGGAUGAGCCCGCGUUGGAUUAGCUAGUUGGUGGGGUAAAGGCCUACCAAGGCGACGAUCCACAGCUGGUCUGAGAGGAUGAUCAGCCACACUGGGACUGAGACACGGCCCAGACUCCUACGGAGGGCAGCAGUGGGGAAUAUUGGACAAUGGGCGCAAGCCUGAGCCAGCCAUGCCGCGUGAGUGAUGAAGGCCCUAGGGUUGUAAAGCUCUUUCACCGGUGAAGAUAAUAACGGUAACCGGAGAAGAAGCCCCGGCUAACUUCGUGCCAGCCGCCGCAGUAAAAC
rnacentral:rRNA from 1 species